AGCUUUGUUCGCUUCGAUAGUUUCAAGUAUAUUAUCUUGAGUUAUCACCUAAAACAAAGCAAAAUUAAAAUAAUGUUUUUCGAACAUCAAGUUACACAAAAUUGUAAUUUGAUUUUGCAAAAUUCAUACAAAC
rnacentral:snoRNA from 15 species